CUCAAACCGGAAAUAUGUCACCUCCACUUGAAAACAUCAAGAUGGCGUCGCCGGGAGUACUUCAAACUUAAACUCAGAUCAAAUGUAUAUCAAGUGUUAUCCAUCCUCAUAACACCUCCACAAAUAGAGACUGGAACUUCUGAGCACCAACACCUUGUCUGCUAUGGGACUGUCAUAGCCCAGAAAUCAGAUGCAUCAGAACAACAAAGCACAACUGUGGUGGCCCAGGCACCUUCAGCAACAAGAGCAGUGAAGAUAUUUAAAGAGACACUAUCACUAUCUAAAGUACAGAAAGCCGUACAUCAUCUCUAGGUGCAGUCACCUACAGUGCAGCCAGCUUCACAAAGACUGUGGGGCUGGUCACCAGGAAAAUGGACAACAGGGAGUGCUUUUGGGGUUUUACUCCUCAGAUGACCACCCUGGCAACUGUAGUUGGGAUUGCUUCACAGACGAUGGAGGUCUUGAAGAGUAAAGUG